AUUGAACGCUGGCGGCAUGCCUUACACAUGCAAGUCGAACGGCAGCACGGGAGCAAUCCUGGUGGCGAGUGGCGAACGGGUGAGUAAUAUAUCGGAACGUGCCCAGUAGUGGGGGAUAGCUCGGCGAAAGCCGGAUUAAUACCGCAUGAGACCUGAGGGUGAAAGCGGGGGAUCGCAAGACCUCGCGCUAUUGGAGCGGCCGAUAUCAGAUUAGCUAGUUGGUGGGGUAAAGGCCUAACAAGGCAACGAUCUGUAGUUGGUCUGAGAGGACGACCAGCCACACUGGGACUGGGACACGGCACAGACGCCUACGGGAAGCAGCAGUGGGGAAUUUUGGACAAUGGGCGCAAGCCUGAUCCAGCAAUGCCGCGUGCAGGAAGAAGGCCUUCGGGUUGUAAACUGCUUUUGUCAGGGAAGAAAUCCUCUGGGUUAAUACCUCGGGGGGAUGACGGUACCUGAAGAAUAAGCACCGGCUAACUACGUGCCAGCCGCCGCGGUAAAAC
rnacentral:rRNA from 1 species